GAUGAAGAACGUAGCGAAACGCGAUAGUUAAUGUGAAUUGCAGAAUUCAGUGAAUCAUCGAGUCUUUGAACGCACAUUGCGACCCUCGGUAUUCCGGAGGGCAUGUCUGUUUGAGCGUCAUUUCAACACCCUCGCUUUAAGCGGUAUUGAGGCGUGGAAUCCAUAUCAAUGGAACCAAGCUUUUAAAGUUGAAGGCAAGCAGAACGAAUGUCUUGAACAAAACAUAGUAAAAUCUUCACGGUUUCUCAUGUUUGUCCUCGAUGUUACGUCUCGCCCAAACAAUUUUUUUUUAGUUUUGACCUCAGAUCAGACAAGGAUACCCGCUGAACUUAAGCAUAUCAAUAAGCGGAGGA
rnacentral:misc_RNA from 1 species